CUAGGAUGAACGCUAGCUACAGGCUUAACACAUGCAAGUCGAGGGGCAGCAUUGGGGUAGCAAUACUCAGAUGGCGACCGGCGCACGGGUGAGUAACACGUAUCCAACCUGCCGCUUACUCGGGGAUAGCCUUUCGAAAGAAAGAUUAAUACCCGAUGGUAUAAAGAGUUCGCAUGUUCUCUUUAUUAAAGAAUUUCGGUAAGCGAUGGGGAUGCGUUCCAUUAGAUAGUUGGCGGGGUAACGGCCCACCAAGUCUACGAUGGAUAGGGGUUCUGAGAGGAAGGUCCCCCACAUUGGAACUGAGACACGGUCCAAACUCCUACGGGAGGCAGCAGUGAGGAAUAUUGGUCAAUGGACGAGAGUCUGAACCAGCCAAGUAGCGUGAAGGAUGACUGCCCUAUGGGUUGUAAACUUCUUUUAUAAGGGAAUAAAGUGAGGGACGUGUCCCUUUUUGUAUGUACCUUAUGAAUAAGGAUCGGCUAACUCCGUGCCAGCAGCAGC
rnacentral:rRNA from 1 species